rnacentral:rRNA from 1 species
GACGAACGCUGGCGGCGUGCCUAAUACAUGCAAGUAGAACGCUGAAGAGAGGAGCUUGCUCUUCUUGGAUGAGUUGCGAACGGGUGAGUAACGCGUAGGUAACCUGCCUGGUAGCGGGGGAUAACUAUUGGAAACGAUAGCUAAUACCGCAUAAAAUUGAUUAUUGCAUGAUAAUUAAUUGAAAGAUGCAACUGCAUCACUACCAGAUGGACCUGCGUUGUAUUAGCUAGUUGGUGAGGUAACGGCUCACCAAGGCGACGAUACAUAGCCGACCUGAGAGGGUGAUCGGCCACACUGGGACUGAGACACGGCCCAGACUCCUACGGGAGGCAGCAGUAGGGAAUCUUCGGCAAUGGGGGGAACCCUGACAGAGCAACGCCGCGUGAGUGAAGAAGGUUUUCGGAUCGUAAAGCUCUGUUGUAAGAGAAGAACGGGUGUGAGAGUGGAAAGUUCACACUG